rnacentral:rRNA from 1 species
UGGGGAUAUUGGACAAUGGGCGAAAGCCUGAUCCAGCCAUGCCGCGUGUGUGAAGAAGGUCUUCGGAUUGUAAAGCACUUUAAGUUGGGAGGAAGGGCAUUAACCUAAUACGUUAGUGUUUUGACGUUACCGACAGAAUAAGCACCGGCUAACUCUGUGCCAGCAGCCGCGGUAAUACAGAGGGUGCAAGCGUUAAUCGGAAUUACUGGGCGUAAAGCGCGCGUAGGUGGUUUGUUAAGUUGGAUGUGAAAUCCCCGGGCUCAACCUGGGAACUGCAUUCAAAACUGACUGACUAGAGUAUGGUAGAGGGUGGUGGAAUUUCCUGUGUAGCGGUGAAAUGCGUAGAUAUAGGAAGGAACACCAGUGGCGAAGGCGACCACCUGGACUAAUACUGACACUGAGGUGCGAAAGCGUGGGGAGCAAACA